rnacentral:rRNA from 1 species
UACGUAGGGUCCGAGCGUUGUCCGGAAUUACUGGGCGUAAAGAGCUCGUAGGUGGUUUGUCGCGUUGUUCGUGAAAACUCACAGCUUAACUGUGGGCGUGCGGGCGAUACGGGCAGACUUGAGUACUGCAGGGGAGACUGGAAUUCCUGGUGUAGCGGUGAAAUGCGCAGAUAUCAGGAGGAACACCGGUGGCGAAGGCGGGUCUCUGGGCCGAUACUGACGCUGAGGGGCGAAAGCGUGGGGAGCAAACAGG